UGAGCACUCAUUUCAUCCUGCACAGUAAAAAUCGGAUCCCACUUUCACCUCCAGCCGUCCGUUGUGUUUUUUCUUAUUUCACCGCUGCUGCUCCUUUUGAGUGUAUGAUGCCUGGGCCCGAAUGUGUGCGGGGCCGUCAGCCAGAGGCAGUGACAGCGAGUCCCUCCCGUCAGCUUCUUUUUCGUGCGCGCGAAGGGCAACACAAGCGAAAACCUAGAUCGGUAAAUAUCUCCCCAAAUCCGCUUCCUCUCUCCCCGUCCCCAAUCGCGUUCUCCAUCCUCCCAAUCCCGGAAGAGGCCGGCGGCGCGGAAGGUUCAUAGCGGCUAGCUGGCGGAGUGUUGAGAGGAGGCGCUGCAGGAGCGCGUCCCGGAGGAGGCCGGCGGCACGAGCCGCGAGGCGAAGCACACGAUGGUGGAGAGCAGGAGGAGGAGCACACUACAGCAAGGGUCAGCGACCAGGAUCAAGUUCCAGGUAGUUCGUUUUUUCCUUGCCUUCCUCUCCAGCUUCCUGGUAUCUGCACUGUCACAUCCCUCCUCCGAUCGAAAUCUGAGGCAAUAUGCAACAUGGCCGGAGCAGUUCCACGAGGAUCUGGUGGCCGGAUGCGGCAGAGGUGAGUGGACGAUUCAAGCGCACCCCACGCCUCUGCUCGUCUUCUUCACCUUCACCCAUGACUUCCCCUGCACCGGCGGUGUGGUGCCUGGUCUGCACAACGGGUGACUUCUCCUCUACUCUCCCAACGUCGAGUUGACGGCGAAGCUGGAGCAAGAAAGUCGAGGUGACAGAUCCGCACGCCCUACUGUCCUCCUCCAUCAAGCUCUCAAUCUGGGAGGUGUACAUGUCCAUGAAGGUCUCGACAGUGCUGCUGCUACGGAUAGAAGAGCGCGCUAGCAACACUAUUGAAAGCUGCAGAUGAUGCGGAUUGAUUCCAAAUGAAAAUUGCUAGCAAUAAGGUGGAUCUUGUUGCUCGGAAGGGUGAUGAGACUAUAAAAUCAAAGCAUGCCAAUUCUGGAGCUCGUGUACAAGUUUCUACUCUUAUGUAUGCCCAGGGCAUGUAAAACCAAGUCCCAUUUUGAUUGUGCUAAAUCGGAAGCAUAAGUGAAGUUCCUGCUUUUGCCAUUCCUUGCCCUGGGUGAUCCUGCAACUAGAAGAACACUAUAUUGAUGCCACAGAAGAGCAAUUUGAAAUCACAAAGCAGCUCGUUAGUGAGGUUACCAGUGAGUUGCCGCUUCUGAAGAUAUGGGGAGGAGCAGCGGAUGAGAGCUUUGAGAUAGUUGAUAGGUACCGCAAAGAGUCAAUUUUGUAUAUGCUUGAACAUAAUCUACAAUCCAUCCUAUUUUUUCUCACAAUCUGCUUUGUUCAUUCUGUUUCUUGUUAACUGAUGCAUGCUGUUUGUUCUUCCUUUACCUGAAUAUACACCACUCUAUCUAGGAUCUGAAUGGCACACCAGAAAAUUGAGUUGUGGAUCAAAUGAGAUCAUCAUAUCAAAGUGGUUUAUAUAAGAAACACCAGAUUAUAUAUAUAUAUAUCUGGAUAUCAAGGCUUCUAUUUUAUUUCUUAUAGUUUGAUUUGGUGAUGCAUUUGUUUGAUAAAAAGAGAACUGAAAGUUUGCACUCAAAUUUGUUCAUUUAGUUUCACGAUAUCUAUAGGUUGAACUGUAGCGUUUAAAAGGAGGGAUCAUGCAUAAGUUACAGGAGAAGGCCCAAGUCUAAUUCUAACUGAAAAUGACAGUAAACAUGACAACCUGUAACAUACACUUAGAUUUUUUUAUGUAAUGGCGUGAGUUUCAGGAAACGCAGCAAUUGCUGGAGUAGGUAAGGAAAGUCUGUUGGUAACAAUAGUUAGGGCGGAGUAGUAUUAUCUUGGUGCAGCUCCUGGUGUAUUAGAUUGGGUAUGAUUAAUCUCUGCCUGCAGAAGAUCUUCUCUGGUUUUUUGGCAAUAUUUAUGAAGCCAACAACAAAGGAUCUAAAGACUGUGGACAAAUGCCAAACAAAAUAGCAGAGCAAAGAAGAGAAACAUUUGGUGUGACCAACUUUUAGGCUGCGUGAGGAUGCAUAAAACCAAACGCACCCAAUUGUUGUGUUGUUUGGAUUCACGCCGAUAGGGAAAUCUGUACAAAUCAUAAGCAUAUUCUGUGAUAUGGACGCUUUAGGCUGGAACUGAUGGCUUUUGGAGGUCUUGCAUGCAGGUCUAUUCAGUUUAUGUAUUAACAGAGGAUUUGGUUAAUCCACAUAAGAACGAGGCAAACCUGUUGCAAGUAUUUUGAAAAUAAAGGUGUCACAAAAAACCCUUAAAAAUUAAUGACCUCUCUAUCUUCUAAAGGAUAGGUAUUAAGAAUAAAUCUACCAAUUCAAUGAAAUGGGUUCUCCAAGUGGAAACCAGGUAUCAAUAUGGAAUAUGGUUACCACAAAGAUCUUUCAUGCUCAAAUGUACAACUUAUGCUUGCGGCUACAGCUAUCUGCUUGGGCUACUUGUGAUUUACUUCAUACUAGAGUUCUGUAUCGGAUUGGUACCUCCAUCAUGGAUUUGCAUGGGCAGUCCAGCAGUAGUUGGCAUGUCUUUUGUAGAGAGUGGUGAUGCUUGUUUCUAGGGAGGACGUCUGUACAUACGUUUUCAGUUUGAGCAGUGGAUUUUUUUAGACGGGAAAGUUUGAGCACAGGUAUAUAGCAACUUACAGGUAUUGCAGCUUAUUUGUCUUCACUGUACUGCUUUAGUUUCUUAUGAUGGGAAUCGGAGGUCUACCUCUUUUCCAAAAAAAAAACAUGGUAGAUCAAUGUCUUCCUGGACAUUAAUAUGAUAUACAUGUUUUUUUUGUAGUAAUAUCAUUGAUUCCAACCUUUUUCUUGGUAUUAAUGAUUAAUAGUUGCAUGUUUAGUGCUAUUGCUAUAUUGUGGAUUGUGAUAUCUUUGUGGCAAGAAGAUAAUGGCAGUCUUUUUAAAGCACUGUUACUGAUAAGGACACAUAUUUAAAAUUUCAGUUGCUUGCUUUGAUUUUGCAUGUGUGCUUCCUAUUGCUCAAUAGAGUUAUUUAUAAUAAUUGUUCAGAGAAGGGUCGGUGCUUAUAGAAGGAUAGAAUAUAGAUCUCCUGAUGGACUAUGCUUUCUUAUUUGUUCAAGUGAGAUAUGAUUGUUGGCUGGAGAUUCAGAGCUCAUAGAAGGUCAUAGUGCCAUUCAUGGAUACAGUUCAUCAUGUAUAAAUCACUUCAGUUACACAUUUCUUUUGUCAUUCCAAUAGCCCUGCUACUAUUUUAAGUUUGCUGCUAUCCAUAUGCAUAUUCAGUCAACUUUUUUGUCGUUGCAGUGAUGUGAUAAGCAGCCUACUUGUUGAAGUGCAUCUCUAUUAGAUCUGUGAAACAAGCACCGUAUUAUUGGGUUAUACUGAAUGCAACUAUCUAAUUCUUUUGCAGUUGGUGAAGAACCGUUUGGGGUCCUCAUUUUAACUGAAAGUUUCACUAAAUCCAUUAAAGGCUGUCAGAAUUCUCGACCUUGUUAACAAUCUUAUAAAGAGAGAAAUUAGGAUUGUGUCCCGGUUAAACAUGGCUCCUGAGGUGCAAGGCGUAUUAACUGCUGCAGUUUUGGGGGUCCAUCUUCUCCGAGCAAAGCCAUAGCCCAUGGACCUGCCGCUCUGCUCUAAUUUGGUAGAAGCCUGAUAGUUAACGAGAGAGCAGUUCGGGACGGGGCUACCUUGCCGGAGAUCUGGACGGUUUGGAGUUAGAAUGCCCAAAUCCUAUUUUUUGAACCCCUUUUCCUUAUUUAUAUGUAUUUUAUAGCUUCCCAGUUAUAUUACCUAUCUAUCUUAGACACCAUCAGAGUAUAACUAUACAUAUUCUAUCGGCUGUGUUGUAUGGUAGUGUAUUGCUAUUGGUGAUUUUCAGAUCAACCUGGUUUGCAACCAAAGUAUGAGUUGUGUA